UAGAAAAAAAAACAGAAAAGGAAAAGAAAACAAAGAUAGAAUGGUAUCUUUACCGACAAAGGAUGAGAUGAAGAAAUUUUUGGUCGAUAGUGAAAAUCUAAGGUUUACGACUCUUUAUGAAUAACAACAAAAUCAGAAUCUCGAAAUCUUUCGGUAUACUAUCAUUUACUCUAUGAGAAGUCAUCAACCGAUUCAUCUUCUUCAAACAGAGAGAAGCAUAUGUAUCGAUCUGUUCAGAUGACUUAUCAGUUGAUUCUGAUGAUCGAUUUGUCCAAUAUGUUCGAAGAGCUAUUUUAAACAACAGAAGAAUCUAUGAAGGAAAUAACUUUUGAUAGGGUCAGAGUUGUUCAAGAACAACAAAGAGAAAAGAAGUUUAUCUUCUUCUAUAUAAUAUUUGUUCAUCAAGCUUCUUUUCAUAUAACCCUAACCAUCUAGAAAAAAGAGAAAGAGCUAUCAUAUCAACUCCAAGGAAUCAAAAUACAGGACGUCGUGAACGCAAGUGUUUUGGAAAGAUAGAAGCAGAGAGAGAUGGGAGUUGCAAACGAAGGGUUCCUGUUCUGUUCGGACAGAGACAUUUACGGUGAUGCUAACUUUGCAGGAACAUCUUAGGCCUUGUGACAUUUCAUUUGUAUUUAGGUUACAGAGCUGAAGGUAAAAUCUUCAAAGAGUUUGAAGACUAUGUGAAUCAAUCAAAGACUAUGAACUUCAUUCUUCUAUGAAGGAAAACAUCUUUAAUAUAAAAGAUAAGUUUUUUCAGAAAAUUUGUCUUUUAUCUAAUGUAUCUGCCAUCAGUAGAAGACGAUGUGAAUCAAUAAAGAUGUCUUUUAUGGUUUCCAAGAAUGUAGAACCUUAACAUGAACCAUCUUAGUGGUGUGCUUAGGCUUCAACUCGAUGAUGGGGUUUUUUGCUU